GGCGGGGCCGCGGGGCCUGGAAGCAGCCUCCGGGAUCUGCAAGUCUGGAAAGGCCACGUUGUGGACCUUGGCGCAGAGGUUAUGGGGGCGACCCGGAGCGGAUGGUUUCAGGAAAACUAGAACCCACCCUCAUGGCCUGAACAACUGGAGAGAAGAGGAUCGCAGCAAUUUAAAGCCAGCGGCAAGGAUCACAGUCCUGGGGUCAGGAAUCACCUGGCGGUCUUGUGAAACUGCAGCUUCUAAUGGGCAAGUCAGAGGGGAAGCCUGAGACAUGGCAUUUCCAGCACGUUCGGGGAGUGAAGAUGCUGUCGGCUGCCACCCUCCCUGCAAGGAGCCAGGGGAUAGAUGACCUCUACGCAAACUCUCCCCUCAAUGGGAAGUAGAAUCUCUUUCUCCACCUCUUCAAUAUGGCUGGCCCUGGAACUUCCCUUGGCACACAGAAUGCAGCAGAAUUGGCUUCAUGUUGUUUCUAAGCCUUGGCCUCAGAGGCCUUGCAUGCUUCCUAACCCUGGCUCUAGGAAACUUGCUGCUGUCAUGUAAGCAAGCCCAGGCUAACCUACUGAAUGUUGGUGUGUCCCAGUCAAAUCCAGCACUGCAACCAAUAGCCAGGCAGCCACCAGACAUGUGAGUGGGGCCACCUCACACCAGCCAACCUCCACCAAGUCAUCAGAUGUAUGAGUGAGAACAGCCCAGAACAACUGAGCCCGUCCAGACCAGCGGAACAACCAAGCUGACCAGUAGACUUAGGAGCAGUAAACAGAUGAUUGUUAUGGAAGCCAUUCUGUUUAGGGUGUGUGUGUUAUUGCUUGCAUCCAAAUACAUCCUAUCUCAUCUAAUGAGAAAAGGCCCUGCUCAAGGGCUUUUGCAGCUGUAGUUGGGCGCCGGAAGUGUCUUUGUGGUCAUUUCUUACUCCAUACACGGGGAGAUCAAGGCUCAGACCAGGUAGUGUGACUGUGGACAACACUUUCCUUACCCCUCUGUGACACUUAAAUCAAUGAAGCAGAUUCACAGAAGCAUGCAUGCUCACUGAACACAGUAUUUGCAUUCCUACCUCCAAACCUUUGCUCCACCCAUGCAUCCAGUAAGAAUGCCUACUUCCCUCCUCUCCUCCAUCGAGUUCUUUCUUUGAGUUCUACCUUCCCUAGUCUUCCUCCACUGCACCAACCCACGGUGAUCCCUGUCUCUUCCAAAUGCUUUGUAACAUGGUAGGCAUCACUCACUUGUGACUCAUUGGACCAUUUUAAAACUUGGUUUUCUGUGUCUCUUUUCCAACAAAAUUACAAAUUCUUUGAGGGUAAAAGUCAGGCCUAAUAGUUCUCUGUACUCCUAGUAGUGCCAGUGUGGUAAAAAUUUAACUUGACAAUUAGCAAAACCAAUAAAUUCCUUACACUAUUCUGUUCCUGUAGGUAAUCAGUAUAUGAAUAUGGAUUCCUAUGUGAUGAUUUUCUGGUCUAUUUUGUCCCUUUUUUUUUUUUGUUACUUUAACCAGGCCAUAACAUAAAGGUUAUGCCAUUUGUUACUGUCAAGCUUAAUUAAGCCCAUUAUAAUUCGUUAACCCCUGUGCUUGCUUUGUAAUUAACAUUGAUUAACACAAACAAGUACAAAAUAGGCCAUCAGCACUUUCCAGAAGUGCUGAUUACAAUUACAUUGGUAAUUCAAUACGGUAUAGAAGAUGGCAGGAUAGUAACUUGCACUCUGUUUACAUAAGGAGACAAAUGCUACCAUGCAAAACUAAGCCAAGAAACAAAAUACUUUCCUCAUCCAACUCACUGAUUAAACCCUUACCCUGUUAACUCACCCUAUGACUGUGUAAACCUCCAGUAAGAUUAUUGAAGGCACAGCUCCAAGUAACUUGCUUAAUUGCAUUCCUGGGACAAAAGAGGGAAGCGCUUCAAAGCUGACAGACAGAUGGUAGAGUGUCCAGUCACAGCAAAGCAGGCCCCGAGGCUCAUGACAGACAACUCCAGGGCUGAGAUCUCAUUUGUAGCUCUGGGAUAAAGUCCAGGGUUUGAUGGCAGCAGGCUGAAGUGUAAAGAUGCUCAACAAUGCGCACCCCAGAGACACUGAAUCUGAAAAAGCUUAGAGUGAAUAAAAAUCUGGAAAUGAACUCUGUCUGUCUAUUCACCAUUCCCCCCAUAAAAAAAUUCCUAUAUUCCGGAUGGUGUUCAAGUUCCCUUUCCACAGGACCUCAGCAGUCAGGGAGGUGCUCCUGCAAUCUAUGUGAAGGAGAUUUCACCAUGCCCACAUGGGAAUACAGUAGAUUGCCAGUAGGGAUGCCACACCUUUGCAUUUCCUCGUAUUUCCAGGAACAAAGCUGGGGUGCCUAGGAGCUGCAGCAGUUUUUCUUCUGUGUAAAAUAAGCAAGCAGGACUCUGCCCCACUGCACUCCAGGGAAGGAUUAAGAGAAUUGAUAUCAUCCAAAUCAAUUGGCCCUGUGCAGAUGACUUGAUAAUGAGGCCAUUGAGUUUUUAUGGUUCACUAUUAUUGCUACAAAAAUUAUGCUGCAGAAAUCAUUCAAAUGCUCAAAAAGGAGCAUUAGUACGAAACUGGGUGUUCCAAAGUUGUUGCUGAGAGGUGUGUAAUGUUCCUGAAGAUCCCCAAGGCACUAAGACUUCUCUGUACAUGAAUGACUCAUAGAGAAGAAAUACACCAGAUGAAAAUAUAUGGAGAAGUUUGCCGAAUGUCAUAUAACUU
rnacentral:lncRNA from 1 species